AAUUUUACAUUAUCAAUUUUAUCUUUCUCUCUUUUAGGAAGUGAUAGAGAAGUCUAAAGCAAGACUUAUACCUAUAUAAUGUAAGUCUCAAGUUCCAGCUGUUGAACAGGAUGGAUUAUCAGUGGAGGGUGGAGCGAUGACCAGGCUGGGGGAGCUUGCCAUUCCUGUAAGCAGUGGAGUGAUGAUGAAGUUGGUUAGUGGCGCUUUUGGAAUGGUGGAGUACUGAAGCUGGUGGAGUGAUGGUGAGGCUGUCUUGCACACUGGCUCCUGGCUCACUUGCCACCUGCACACUGGCUCCUGGCUCACUUAGCACCUGCACACUGGCUCCAGGCUCACUUGACACCUGCAAACUGGCUCCUGAUAUAUCUUCACCUUCCUUGUCAUCUCUUCUCUCACUUGCCCUUCUCUCACUUUCCUCACUCCCUCCCUCAAUGUCUGAAAUGAUGUUGGCAUUGUUAGUUACAUGUAGAGUGUAUAAGCUAGUCAUUGAAAUAAGAAAUAUUAUUUAAAUUGACUUCACAUUUUUCGUACCGAUGUUCAUUAUAGGACAAUACGUGUGGUCACUGGUCACUGCAUGAACAUGUACUGGAGGACGUCCUGUGGUACUUCUCACGGCAGGACCCUUCCUCCUCUUGGGCAUAGGACGAUGCACAAAUAUGCCAUACAUCCGGAUCCCUUUCUCUGACAGAUUGGUGCAUCCAAACGCCGCACAGCCAACCAUGGUAAGAAAAUCAAUCUAUAAAAGUUAGAUGUUAUGAUCAGUUACCAGGGAAGGUGUGCCAGUCAACCCCUCCCUGUCUC